rnacentral:rRNA from 1 species
GACGAACGCUGGCGGCGUGCUUAACACAUGCAAGUCGAACGAAGUGGCGAACGGGUGAGUAACGCGUAAUCAACCUGCCCUUCAGAGGGGGAUAACAGUUGGAAACGACUGCUAAUACCGCAUACGGAAGGAGGGGAUUGCGUCGGAUUAGCUAGUGGGAGGGGUAACGGCCCACCAAGGCGAGGAUCAGUAGGCGUGCUUAGGGGUGGAACGGCCAAAUUGGGACUGGGACACGGCCCAGACUCCUACGGGAGGCAGCAGUGGGGAAUCUUCCGCAAUGGACGAAAGUCUGACGGAGCAACGCCGCGUGAGUGAUGACGGCCUUCGGGUUGUAAAGCUCUGUUAAUCGGGACGCGGUACCGGAAUAGAAAGCCACGGCUAACUACGUGCCAGCAGCCGCGGUAAUUC